rnacentral:rRNA from 1 species
GGCGGACGGGUGAGUAACACGUGGGAACGUGCCUUUUGGUUCGGAAUAGCUCCUGGAAACGGGUGGUAAUGCCGAAUGUGCCCUUCGGGGGAAAGAUUUAUCGCCAUUAGAGCGGCCCGCGUCUGAUUAGCUAGUUGGUGAGGUAAAGGCUCACCAAGGCUACGAUCAGUAGCUGGUCUGAGAGGAUGACCAGCCACAUUGGGACUGAGACACGGCCCAAACUCCUACGGGAGGCAGCAGUGGGGAAUCUUGCGCAAUGGGCGAAAGCCUGACGCAGCCAUGCCGCGUGUAUGAUGAAGGUCUUAGGAUUGUAAAAUACUUUCACCGGUGAAGAUAAUGACUGUAGCCGGAGAAGAAGCCCCGGCUAACUUCGUGCCAGCAGCCGCGGUAAUACGAAGGGGGCUAGCGUUGCUCGGAAUUACUGGGCGUAAAGGGAGCGUAGGCGGACAUUUAAGUCAGGGGUGAAAUCCCAGAGCUCAACUCUGGAACUGCCUUUGAUACUGGAUGUCUUGAGUGUGAGAGAGGUAUGUGGAACUCCGAGUGUAGAGGUGAAAUUCGUAGAUAUUCGGAAGAACACCAGUGGCGAAGGCGACAUACUGGCUCAUUACUGACGCUGAGGCUCGAAAGCGUGGGGAGCAAAACAGGAUUAGAUACCCUGGUAGUCCACGCCGUAAACGAUGAUUGCUAUUUGUCGGGAUGCAUGCAUUUCGGUGACGCAGCUAACGCAUUAACAACCCGCCUGGGGAGUACGGUCGCAGAUUAAACUCAUAGGAUUGACGGGGGGCCCGCACAGCGGUGGAACAUGUGGUUAAUUCGAAGCACGCGCAGAACCUUACCACCUUUUUGACAUGCCUGGACGCCAGAGAGAUCCGGCUUUCCCUUUCGGGGACAAGGACACAGGUGGCUGCAUG